rnacentral:misc_RNA from 1 species
CUUAAGGCCAAACAACCUGCCACAAUUCAGGUUAAGGUGCCCAAGCUUAAUGUUGCUCCGCCCCCACAAGUGCCUGUAGGUGAUGGUGGUGGUGGAAGCAGUGGGGACGGUGAGGAGGUCGCUGCUAUUGCUUCAGCUAAGACUAAGUGUGUUGCUUUGCAGAAGAAAGCUGCUUCUGCAUCUAUGAUGGCUAAGGAUUUUGCUAGACAAUUUGAGUCUGGAGAUGUGGAGGUUAGGAACCGCAGUUCUAAAAAACGUAGGUUUUCAUGAAUUUGUAUGUGGAAUGUGAAAAUUAUGAUUGUUUAAUCAAUCGAAUUCUCUGUUGUCCUAUUUAACAGU